CGAUGCUGCUUGGGGAUUUGGCGCCGGUGUUGGGCUGGUGCCCCAUUCCCACGCAGAACCAGGAGCAGGUCUGAGCCCAGCCUUGUGCAAAUCUGUUGCCUUCUCCAUCGAGGAAGCGGGAAGCCCCGUGAAAACCUCCAAACACAUCAGAAUGACCAUAUUUAUUAGCUGGCUUCCUGUUUUCUUUGCGAUCCUUUCACAAACAGGAGGCAGAAAUAAAAAUAGCAAACAUGUUUUCCCCUAUUCCUCCGUGAACGCUUACUUAAGCUUUUAUUAUAUUUGGCCGUGGGACAUUUGGUAAACUUACUGAUGAUAUCGGAGAAUGAUUUUACAAACAGUAAAAGUUACACUAUUGACACCUCCAAAUUCUGGAGUAUUUACAUUGUGUUAGGUGCACACUCGCUCAGCGAGAUUAACAAACAUUACUAGAAAGGCUAUAGCCAAAUCCACCGUGGUUGUUUAUAAAACCUUUACAACUCAUCAGCUUCCACUAACACACUGGCACUGUUCAAUUACCAUCACUUUUAGAGAGCCUUAGCAAAACACCCAGUGCCCAUGUAAAUAGACAAAUCUGAAAACUAGCUGGUCUGUUGGCUUACAUACUGUAGGUAAUGUUUUCUUUUGCUCAAAUUUGUUCUAGAAACUAAUCACGCUCUGAUAAAGCCAUCUGCAAAUAUGAGAAAGAUUGACAUCCACAUGUCAAAGUUUACACAGCCUGACCAAGUGUACAUAUAGUGCGGGCGCCGCGUGGCCCCGCUGUGCUGAUCUGCCUGGCCUGUACUGGUGCAGGAGCGCAGCACCAGCACCACCAGCAUCCAGGAGCUCCAGAGCCAGCAGAAGACCCCGCUGACAGCCAGGUGACCCUGCAUGGCAUGGGAAGGGAUUCCUACUGCUGCACCAGGUGAUGCUGCCCAGAGCAUCCUUCUGUCGCCAGGAUACAGGACUCACAGCCUUCAUACCUCCAUUGCUUUCCUAGUGAAGUGCUUUGAUUUUGGAUCAUCCGACAAGGAAACCCUACCAUUUUCCUCAGCCUGUGGUUUCCUGGAGCGUCAGGUGAGAGCAAAAAGAAAUUGAAAAAAGCUUCAAGGUGAGGACGGGCAAAAUACUGGGUCACAAGAGUUUUUUCUCCCACUGAAGAGUGAUCAGCACUCAGUGCAAACUGCGGAGUUUUGUUUGGCUCUGGGUCUCCAAACAAGGCUUUUGUUGACUCCUAAACAAGGCCAGUGCCCAAGAUUUGGAGCCGGCUGCGGCGGCUGGCACCCAGGCCCUGAAAUUCCAAACAGAGAAGAAGAAAAUAAAUCACCGAUGUUUUACUUAAUUGCAUCACUAAAGAAAGGAUUUACAUGGAAUUUAAUGAACUUCUCUUAAUCACAUCCAACACCCUUCCUGCACUGGACAUUUGCCUCGUGAGCAAGGCAAGGCUCCAACUUGGAAAGGGAGCGGGAUGUGAUAGAAAUGGGUAAAAGCUGACAGCCGCAGGGCUCCGGUUCAGUCCUCACCCAACUGAGCUCUGCCCUGUGUCUUGGUGCUGGGUCCCCACUGUGCUGUGUCCUCUGUCUUGGUGCUGGGGUGCCACGGGCUCUGUCCUGCUGUUUUGUAUGGCUAGCUGUCCUUCUUGCUCUUAAUGGUGGUCUCUAUCACAGCCUUGGUGGUUGGGUUGCGCAUCUCCAACAGGUGACUUGCAACUGUCCUCUGCUCACUGCACCAUGCCUCAAUUUCCCCAGCUAUCCCACUAGGAAACAACAGGGCACGUGAUUGAGACUCCCUCCAGCACAUCCAUCUGCCUCCCACACCGGGAGAUGGCUUUGGCCUUUGCUCCAUCUCUGUACCAGCAGCCCAGCUGCUUUCUCAGAUAGAAGUGAAGUCAGAACUCACACCCCCAUGCUCCUGUCCCCUGCACUGGCAUGGAUCCCACUCCAAAGGGACCGUGCUUGGGCAGAAAAGGUGACUCCAGAGCUGGCAUUGACAAAAUAGAUGAGUACAGACCCAGGCUGGAGUUUGACAGAGGCUGCGGUGCAGGUCCAUCCGUGCAAGCAUUAGGUGUUUAAGGAUACUUGUUUGAAAGCACAUCAGCAUCAAUCAUUGUCUGCCGCUACUUGAAAAACAAGGCUGAUAGACUAGCAGCUAGCAAAGCUUUCUGCCUGCCUCCGAAGCAUGCUGCAAUUCAAUUAGUCAUGGUCAGAGGGUGGCAUUAUUAUUCAUACAUUACUGAUUGUUCCCAAAGUAAACAGCGCUAGGAUGGGGUCUGUGAUCCUCUCUGUGCCCUCAGCCAGGACACAAAGGGAAAUGCGAUGCAGACCCCGGGGUGGGACAUUGUUUGCAAACUUCACAGUCAGAUCUCGCCGUUUUUCAUAGCCCUCACUGAUAAGUGUCGGUUUAUGCAUACAAAAAAGCCGAGAUAUUUUACCCCAGUCAAUUCCACGAUUUUUUUUUUUUUUUAGCACUGAUAACUUUUCUUUUUUUUUCAAGCCAUAUGCUAAUUUUAGAUAGGAUGGAUAGCUUAAACUAUGCAAAUACAAACCCUGCCACCGCAGAAUAUAAUAAUGAUCGACAGCUUAGCAAUUAGCAGUAAAUAACCACACCAUGCAACGCAGCAAUAUCAUUUGCAUGCUCGCAAAAUAGUAACCCAGAGCCGUAAUGGACUACAAAGCCAUCUGUUUAUCAGCGUUACAGCAGCAAAAGCCAAAAUACACACAGCACAAAAAGUGACCCGAGUGCUCGGGACCAAUGCCUGCCCUUGGUGGCUCUUGGUGCAGGUGGGUACCACGCUCCAGUGCAGAGAAGGGAUGGAGGGUGAGCGCCCUCCGAGUGAAACCUCAUGGCGAGGAACAGCAGAAAAAAAAAAAGGGUUACGUCUCAUAUCUGUGUAUGCAGAUUAUAAAAACACACAGAAAAUCAUUGCUCCCCCUGGAUAUAGCUGCCAGCCCCUCCCGCCCCACUGCUUGCCCCGCUGCGUACCUCCCGCACCCGCUCCAGUGUGGGUGCAGCCGUGCCUCCCUCCCACCGCCAGCUAAUGUAUUUGCACAAAACUUGAAGGAGUGCAAUUGACGUGAGAGCCCUACUGCCUCCAAAGUUAUUACAGUGACUGAUGGACAGGCACGGUGCGAAUCAGCAUAUUUGCUCCAUUUCCUCGGGGAAAUGGACUCGCUACAAUAAAAAUGUGCUCUUUCAUAACUGCUGCCCUGCUCACUUGGCUAAAUUUGAACGCGAGGGCGGAGGAUUGCUCUGGGCAAGGAGGAGGGAGAAGACGAGCUCACUGCUGAGGCAAAUUGAGUUAAGAAGUGGUGGUUGUAGGCAAAUACCUCCGACAGCGGCACUAUUGAUGUGGCUGCAGAAUUUCUGAGAGCCUAUGCACACAGUAAAACCCCACCCCGAUGAGAACCACCACCUGAUACUCUAACCAGCGACCAUUUUUCCUCACUGUUUUUUUUUUUUUUGUGUGUGUGCUUUUUGUUUUUUUGUUUUUCCAUAAAAGGGAGGUCAUCUUUGCCUUCUCAUUGGUAUUCUCCCCCAACCCCAUUCCUCUUCCACAGGACCGGCCCCAACGUAGAGAGGGACAGACAGAAAACAUCGCGAAAUGACAAAUGCCAUGUUUCGUGUCAGUCAUCGGAGGCAUUCUGCAUAGCGUUUCUGUUCUGUCCUGCUGAUGGCUUGAUUUAGUGCUGCAGUCGCUUGUUGGGUUGACAUGACAACUGGGGGACACGUCGUAAAUAUCCCAGGAGCGGAUGGGAGCUUUGUGCCGCAUGUGCUGAACCCGCCGCCCAGGUGGCAGCCCAGCGGGCUUCGCCCUGGUUUGUUUGGAAGAGAAAGAAAGAAGAAAGGAAGGCAACAACAACAAGAAAGUACAUAUGGUUUCUUUUUAAGAAAAAGAAAGAAAGAGAAAGGAAUCUUCAUUUUCUUUUGGUUGACUUGAUAAGUCUUUGUGGGAUCACUCGCGGCCAUUAGGACCCGGUUGGCUGCCAUCCAUCUAUCCAUCCAUCCAUCCAUCCAUCCAUCCAUCCAUCCAUCCAUCCAUCCAUUCACCAUUGGCUUUCUCAGAGGUUUGGAGGUAUUUAUUGCUCACAAGGCUGAGCUGCCAUGGAAGAGAAGCCAAGGUUUUUGCUGAGGAGGAGACCUGACAUGGAGAUAGGCUUUCAAUCUGUCGAGGAGGAGCUGGAAGAGUGUCAGGAGUGGUUUUGAUCUGCCUCUGCCCGAUUGCACAGCAUGUGGACAGCCUGGCAGCACCUGGGCUCACAGGUUGGAAAUGAGCUGGGAACAUUCCUCUUUCUGUGGGAUGCAGCUUCCCAGUGAGAGAAGUCUGGAGCUGUCAUAGCAGCAGGGUUUCAUUUUUUUCCUGCAGCUCUGCUGCUUUUUCAGGAUAGAAAAGAGCAGUUCAUGCUUGGAGAAAUGCCUCCAUCAGUGUUUUCAAAAUGAUAUACUCAGUUUAGCCAUUUAAAGCCAGUUUAGCCACUUAAAGCCCUUUCCGAAUCUAGCUUCCAUUUGGGGUGAUAUUUUCAUCCUGUUAUGUUUUGUUAGAGUUUAUAAAGAAGCGCUCACACACACAUACACACACACACACACACACACACACAAACACACGUUCAGUUUUGUUUCAGAUUGAAAUGAGACAUUACUGAAACAAAGGCAAAGUUUCCUCUCGUCUCCCUCCAUUGUCCACUCGUCAUUGUUUUCUGCUAUUAUAUGCAGUAAGACAAAUGAUGGGGGAAAGCUCCUUCCCACUUUCUCCUUUUCUUUUUUUUCCUUUGUAAUUUUGAAAAAGCCUCCAACUUGAAAGGAAGAUGAGCCAGAGCAGUAAGAGAACAAAACCCAUCAGCAACUCCAUCACUGGGAUUUGAAAAUGUUUAAAUGCACCAGGGUUACAAGAGAACAAUCUCUGUCACUUCCAAAGGUUUCCUUAGCUGGAGGAACUGAGGAAAGGAAGAGAAGCAAAGCAAAAGAAGAAGAAAGGAAAAUAAUGAAAAUGCCCAAAACAAAGCAUCAAAUACAAAAAGAAAAAAAAAAGAAAAAAAAAGAAAAAAAAAAGAAAGAAAAUCUAGCAACCAAAUUUAGAUGUUUGAUACGUGAGCAAAAUUCGUUCAAGAAAGCCUUCUCCCCUGCUUUGCUGGAGCUGGGAUGAUGCCAGGACUCUUUCCCAGUCCACAGGGGCCCCAUGCACACAUCCCCACACAAUCCAGGCUGCUGUUACCAGUAGUCUUUACCUGGCCCAAAGCCUAACAGUUGGGCGACCUUGAUGGAAUCUGAGAGCUGCACAGAUUCACCAGGAGCCAUACAAGGACAUCAUUGUCACCUCUACCUAACAUCCCCCUACACCAAGCCCUGUCCAUCAGCAGAACACCUCAUCCUGCCCCCAUCCAGGGCAGAAAGCAUCACCUCUUUGCAUGAGGGUGAGAAAUCCCAGAGGGGACACCGAAGUCCUUUGGGGCUGCCAUCGCCAUCCCCAUCCCGGCACCCGGCAGCUGAGCGGAUCAACGGUCCUUUAGAGCAAAAAUCAUAAAUCAAACAAUAGCAGUCCUUCCUCGCCUUCCCUGACGCUGGGAGAAAUGUCUUGAUUAGCUUUUGUUUGCUUGUUUGCUUGGGCUUGUUUGUUUGUCAAUGCGUGUUGUGUAUCCGUGGGCGUGCGUUGGCUUUAUUGACCGAACGUGGAGCUGAAGCGUAAGCGGGGUUACGCAGCGGCAGCGUAGGGGAGAGGAGAAGGCUGGAUUGAUGGAGAUGGCAUUUACAUUCCCCACUCAAUCUGCAUCGGGGAGGAGGGUCACUGCGAUAUGAGUUUUGACUGAGAUGUACUUUGUGGAAGCAGAUGACUAGCGGAGGGAAAUCCUUCAGCCGAGCCUCCCAAAUACCUUCAGCCCUACAAAAGCCCCCAGAUGCUUUCCUCUUCCUGGCCAGGACCUCCACACACUGACCAGGGACUGGUGGUGAGGAGGGGUGCUUUGGGUGUGCAUUGCCGUCCCUGCGUCGUUCGGAUGGUUUGGGCAGGGAGGCAGAGAUAAAAGCAGGACAAGUCAGAGCUCCUCCGUACAGAUUUGUCCCGAUUUACACCAGCUGAGCACUCGUUCAACCAACAUGAAAUAACUCCUGUCUACAAAUAUCAGCCGUGGGGAUCGGACCCAGUGCAAACUGGCAACAUCUGCAGCUGCCGCCAGACAGACAGACAGAUAGCCCGACGUGAAUUAUUUAACACAAAGUGCCAUGACCUCUAUUAACAAAGGGAGAUGCUUCCAGACCUGCGGGCAGCACCAUGGGAAGCAGCUGGAUCCAAAUCAAUCUAAUUGAAGACGGGCCUGAAUUUAUUAUACGAGCCCUGUUGAGGACGCUGAGGGGGAAUAGAUGCCAAUGCAGCGUUCUCCUUUUAGCUCAGCUGGAAAGAUCACAGCUGCAAAUUGUGAUUAAGCAAAAAAUCAGGUCUGAGCCUCCCCCGCCCAGGCAGCAGCACACGGAUGCUAGGAGGGGGGGUUUCUUAGCACUGAGCAUUUUCAGAAAAUAAAAUUAUCUUGAAGUUUCCCGAGUUUUUUCUUUCUUUCUUUCUUUCUUUUCCCUUCCCCUUCCUCUAUAAUCAAAAGAAAGAACUGAAAGAAACGUGCACUUCAAGGCUUUAAAUCUGAAACUUCCUAAUCCCCUGAAGUCCACACUAGACUUCUUGCCUCCAUGGAAACCCCAAAGCAUUCAUCCAAGUGAUUGGCCUCCAAUGAAUUUUAGAUAAGACAGAAUGGAACAGAAUUGAUGUGAUUUUAAUGCAGAAGAAAGCGGUGGAAGGGAGGUCCACUUGGUUCAUAUUUGAAUAAAGCAAACAUGACAGACAAAAGGCUGACAGCUGUAAAUGACAUUGUCAGUACAAAAAUUAUCAGCCAGUUUACAAUCUGUUUGCUUAUGUUGAACAAACAGAAUGUGUGUGGCAUCCCUUGGCUUCAUGAAUGGCAGAAAUACUUGCAGGCUCCGGAGAGAGGCAGAUAUCUGUUCCCUCCCAGCCCUCCCACUAGAAGAUAUCCAUUUGACAGCCACACUGAAAAGGAAAAUUCUCUCCUUUUUUCCUCCUCUCUCCCUUCUGCUUUUUCAAUUUCUUUCUUUUUCUUUUUUUUUAGCCUCCUUCUUUUUCUCUCUUUUUUCCUCUAUUUCUGGCUGCGGUGCUGUUUCAGUGGGAUCAGUGCUGGGGCUGCUGCUGCAGUGCUGCAGGAUGGAUGGAGCCGUUUGCCAUGUCCCACAUUCCUGGCCCCAAACCUGCCAUCACCUAGCCACAGCCCCGACCGAGCACGCUUUGCUUUCCCUGACUUACUU
rnacentral:lncRNA from 1 species